rnacentral:rRNA from 1 species
AGCUUGCUUUUUAACUUAGUGGCGGACGGGUGAGUAACACGUGAGUAACCUACCUUCCAAAGGGGGAUAACGUCUGGAAACGGACGCUAAUACCGCAUAAUACUAUUUGAGGGCAUCCUUGGAUAGUCAAAGGAGGAAUCCGAUGGGAGAUGGACUCGCGGCUGAUUAGAUAGUUGGCGGGGUAGAGGCCCACCAAGUCGACGAUCAGUAGCCGGACUGAGAGGUUGAACGGCCACAUUGGGACUGAGACACGGCCCAGACUCCUACGGGAGGCAGCAGUGGGGGAUAUUGCACAAUGGGGGAAACCCUGAUGCAGCGACGCCGCGUGAGGGAAGACGGUUUUCGGAUUGUAAACCUCUGUCUUUGGGGACGAAUUGAGACGGUACCCAAGGAGAAAGCUCCGGCUAACUACGUGCCAGCAGCCGCGGUAAUACGUAGGGAGCAAGCGUUGUCCGGAAUUACUGGGUGUAAAGGGAGCGUAGGCGGGAUAGUAAGUUGAUUGUUAAAACUAUCGGCUCAACUGGUAGAUGCGAUCAAAACUGCAAUUCUUGAGUGAAGUAGAGGCAGGCGGAAUUCCUAGUGUAGCGGUGAAAUGCGUAGAUAUUAGGAGGAACACCAGUGGCGAAGGCGGCCUGCUGGGCUUUAACUGACGCUGAGGCUCGAAAGUGUGGGUAGCAAACAGGAUUAGAUACCCUGGUAGUCCACACUGUUAACGAUGAUUACUAGGUGUGGGUGGACUGACCCCAUCCGUGC